rnacentral:rRNA from 1 species
UUCAACUGAAGAGUUUGAUCAUGGCUCAGAUUGAACGCUGGCGGCAGGCCUAACACAUGCAAGUCGAGCGCGAAAGCACUUCGGUGUGAGUAGAGCGGCGGACGGGUGAGUAACGCG